AAAAGUUAUGUCUAAUAAAUAUGUGAACAAUAUAUUUUUUUUUUACAAAUAACAAUUAGAUUAUUUUUAUAUAAUAUUUGUGAAUUUAAGUUGAAAGACUAUAUCAUAUAUACCAGAAUUAUAAAAUAUUGUUCUUAAUAUACAUGAAAUGAUAUUAAAGAUUUGAUUAAUAGUAAAAUGAAAUUAUCUUAGAUGUUGCAUGUGAAGCUCUACUAAAAUUCUUAUAUAGGUAUAGAUAUAAAUCCACGUCAAAUUGAGUGAAAUGAUAUAGGUAUAUAUAUAAAUCCCAUUUGAUGCUAAUUUUAUUUUCUAAUUCUAGUAGGUUAAAAUAAUUAUUUUUUAAGCUGAUAAAAGUUAACAUAUAUUUAUUCAUUUUUGUCAUUUUCUAUCUAACGUUUUUUCUCCCUUUCUCCACUCUCAAGUGAUUUCUCUCCUCUCCACCGCCAGCGCUCUCUUAGGAGAAAUAACUUACAUGUUCCCACAUGACAAUUCUAUUUUACUAUAGUUUAUUAUUAUCUUGUGGAUGUUGGCUAUAUAUACACAUAGCGAAGGAUCUCUUGCCCCAUAUACAGGGUGUUACUAUCAUCGAAGUGAAUGGAGAUAGAGGUAUACAUCGUCGAAUAAUCAAGAGCUUUUAAAUAUGAGUCACUCUACGGCAAGAAAUGUGUUAGAAAGAACUUUUGAAUUGUUAAAUAUGCAACGGGGGAGCCGGUCUUUCUAUCCGAUCAAGACUGAAAUUCGCAUUAUAAAUGCUUGUUGUCUUUUAGACAAUUUUAUUUGGAGAGAAAUGCUUGGCUCAAUGGAAGAACAGUUAGACAUAGAUAUUGAGGCACAACAACAAAACAAAUAUAUUGUACAUAUCGUUCUCCCUCCUAAUAAUACUUCGGAGAUAGAUAAAGAAGAGACAAAACAAAUUAAUAAUGAGGAGUUUGAAGUAGAAAUUACUCAAUGAUCAAAUGAUCAAAUGAAAAUUCAAUCAAAGAGAAGAAACAAUAGAGCAUAUAUUGUUUUGCUAAUAAAUUUAUAAGUUAGAAAAAACUUUUGGGAAUUGACUUGAAAAAAGUUCAGAACGAUUAAGUGAAGCUGCAAAUCAUUUAGGUGUUGGUAAAUAUGUGUUUGAUGAUUCAAGAAAUAUUAUGAAUGAGUUGAAGAAAAUGUAGUUAACAUAAUAAGAGCGUUUUGCUGCACCAGAUAAAAUAUUAUAUAUGUCACAUUGCAUGUACAUAUUUUAAUAUUGUGAAGAUGUUGAACGUCUUGUAUAUGUUAAGUUGUUAUCUAAUAGUCCUAUUAUUGUAUGUGAUUUUACUUGUAUGAUUUGAUGAAAGAUGUAAGAUAACAUACUAUUGUGUAUG